rnacentral:tRNA from 1 species
GAGGGUAUAGCUCAGUGGUAGCAGGCAUGGUUAGCAAUCACGAAGUCCUGGGUUCAAUCCCCAGUACUUCCA